UUUUUUUUCUGUUUGAUCCAAACUGCUACCUGUCCUCUCAUCCAAUUCAUUCCACACUUUCUGUCCAUCUCUUCCACCCCUCCUUCCAUGCUGCUGUUCUCGCUAUGUCCCCAAAUAAACCAUGGUUCGAACACAACACCUUCACCACCUACUUGUUUGCUCAGCUCCUGCGUUCUUAACUCUGCUCACACUCUGCAGCUGUCUUGUCUCUGUGGUAUCUCUUCAGGGUGAAUAGUCUACUUUUGUAUGAGACCUAACGCAAACGUUCCAAUUUCUGUUACACUUUGGAAACUCUAAUAUGUACCCCUCAGGCAGCAGCAGCAGCAUGCAAAAACAGGAACCCUCUAUCUAUCUGCAGUCAUGUCACAAUCACUGUUCCACCUAAAAUGCUACAAACAUAUAAUCAUCACAAUCAACCUACAGGCAAGGUUACCUGACAAAUGAAGUAUAAAGGUCUCCUGGGAGGGAACCGACAGAAUCAUCCAGAUGUUGCAUUUUUGUCUUUUCCGCAGGAGAAUUGUCAAGCUGUGUGAUUAUCAUUUCAUUCAAUCGUUUGACUUCCAAGUCCUUUAUCCCAACCAGUGACGGUAAUUAGUUACCUUAACCUGAAAGUGACUUCCCAACUUCACUGACAUGUUUCACACUAUUUAUCCUUUUUUCCCCUCCAACUUGAACCUCAUUCAACUUUAGAAGUAACCAAAUGCGAUUGGUAUUAUAACCAUUAUAAGCUAUAAACCUCAUGAGCUAUAAACAUCUUAACUUUCAUUUUGGGACACAAGUCAUCUCAACCACAAGGACUGUUAUUAGGAGAGGAUGCCUUUAUUGUUUUUGUUUUCACAUCUCAGAAAGAUAAUAGGGAUCUGCUGAAAUAAGCAGAGUAUUUCAUCUCCUUCCCUGACAAAUUUAUAACCUAAAUUCAUCAUGAAACACAAAAGCAUAUUUCCAGGCUGAGAAGGAAGCAGGAAAAUAUUCUGAUGAUGAUAAAAGAGAAAACAGGCUUUUCUCCUAGAAAUUUGAAAUGAUCUUGGAUGAUUGUGUUCAAUGGGGCCAGUUCAGGUAUGACAAAAAGAAAGCUGUAUAAUGACUGAGACAGACAAGAUUAGCAGAAUACUUACGAGAAGAAAAUACAGAUGUAUGAAAAUUCACAGGCGGUCGCAAGCUGAGAUGGGCAACUGCAAAGGGUCAUAAACAAAGAUGGAUGCUGUGAUGUUCAGUGUCAUCGUGAAGAGAAUUGUGGUGGGAGAAGAAGAAAACACGUCUUAAAGGGAGCAGAUGACGUGGUAAAUAAGUGAUGUUUUUUUGGGGGGUGGGAGGGUGGGAAGGGGGCAGAGGCAGGGCUGAACUUGGCCCAAGCUUCAUGACAUCUUUCACAACACUUCAUGGAGAAGGACACAGGAACUGAACACUGGAUUAAUUUUCCCAGGCACUCCUUCAUUUGCAUUAGACACUCUGGAGGUUCAAAAUAACUAGACCUUGUAUGCCAUUACAACAGAGGUACUUGGACUGCUAGGACAGAAUUAUCUUCUAUGUAGUUAUCUGCUCCCUUCCCAUCUUGCAAGCUAUCACGUCAGAUAUUGCAGUAAAACCAACAUUUUUUUCCGACAAAUAUUAAUGCAGUUAGGCAUAUAUUUUGUUACCAAAGUAACACGUAGUGUUUUAAAAUCAAAAUUUAUAAAUUUUGCUGACGAAGACUUAUAGUAACUGAUAAGUUGAGGCAGAUAGCUUGUCUAGAGUUAAAUGAAUGGAUUUAUCAAAAACAAUUUCUUAAGACAUUAGAGCCCUUCCAACACGAGUUGGAAGGGACCUUUUAAAGAUCAUCUGGUCCAGCUCCUCUGCAACGAACAGGAACACUGACAGCUAGAUCCGGUUGCUCAGAGCUCAAUCCAUUCCAACCUUUAAUGUCUCCAGGCCUCCAGGACUUCCGCCACCUUCUCUGGGCAACCUGUUCCAGCACUUUGCUACCCCUUAUUGUAAAAAACAAACAAACAAAACAAACAAAAAAAAACCCAACCCUUUUUUCUUAUAUCUGAUCUAAAUCUCCCCUGUUUUAGACUGAAGCAAUUUCCCCUUGUCCUAUCACAGCAGGUCCAACAGGUCUCCCUGGAGCCUUCUCCUACCCAAGCUGAACAGCGCCAGUUCUCUCUGACUGUCCUCAUAAGGGAGGUGUUCAACCUCUUGAAUAAUUUUUGCGGACCUUUUCUGGACAUGCUCCAACAGGUCCAUAUCAAGGAGAUGGGGCCAGGUUCUUUUCAAAGGUGCCCAGCGGCAGAACAAGGGGCAGUGAAUGGAAAAUGGAACACAGAAAGUUCCAUACAAACAUGAGAAAAAGACUGCCCAGAGAGGUUGUGGAGUCUCCUUCUCUGGACACUUUCCCGUUUAAACUACUCUAGGGAACCUGCUUUAGCAUGGGGAGCAGUCUCAAUCUCCAGAGGUCCCUUCCAACCUCUAUGACUCUGAGACUAGCAGGGCACCCAGCUGCUAAAACAUGACACAAUGAAGGGACAGGCAACUUUCACAUCAGAAGAUAUGAAAAAAAUAGGCAGCUAUGGAAAUAAGGAUUAGAAUAUCAAACAGUUACAUUUCCUACUCAGUAACAGGUCUAGUGAUCCAUUUAAUGGACAAAAAUUUAACGUGGAUAGAAGAAAGUAGCAUGAAAAUCUCAUAAUUGAAGGUCUUCUACCUUCAGGAACAGUGUUGGGCUUUAAAUAGCUAUAUUAUCAUGUAUAGUAGAAUGGGGUCAGAUAUUCUAAACAUUUUCAGAAGGCUGGAAUAUACUAACAGGAAAAAAAAUGUUUUACAAUCCUGAAAUAUUUUUUUACAUUAAGAAUGUAAUAGUUUAGAAUGUACAGGAUGUCAAUACAAUAACAGUGCAAGUCUGUUGUCAUUUUCAUCACAAAAAAAAAUUCUGUACACUUAGACUACAUGUUAAUCACUUUUGAUGAUCACUAAGCAGAAGCGGGAGUGUCUUUUUAUACACUCUAACAGCGAUAGGACAAGAGAGAACGUCUUUAGACUACAAGAGAGGAAAUUUAGGCUAGAUGUUAGGAAGAAAUUCUUUACUCAGAGGACAGCGAGGCUGUGGUACAAGCUGCCCAGAGUGCUGUGGGUGCCCCAUCCCUGGAGGCACUCAAGGCCAGGGCUGGAUGGGGCCCCUGGGCAGACUGUUUUGGUACCACUUUGGCAGAGGCUUUGAGCUCACUGAUCUUUAAGGUCCCUUCCAACCUAAGCCAUUCUCUAUGAUUCUAUGAUUAUCUUUCUGCUUUAGAACUAUUGCAUACACAUUUGGAAGUUGUAGUCAAUUUUUACAACUGAAAUUUGUAAGUGAAAGGGAGGAUGCAAAGCAAAUGUCUAAAUGCAGUGAUACACGUUAUUUUAGAGUGAUGCCUCCUUUUUAUGGCUUACAAGCCAAUGGCUUGUAAGAUCCCCACACAGAUUAGUCUAUGUUUCUAAACGAGCAUAUGAAAAGCAUUAAUACUCAACAAUAAAAAGACACAGUCUUGAAAAAUCACGGAGCAACCCAACAUUCUGUUAACAUUAAUUUUAUAAAAUACCUUACAAGAACAGAUAAAGAACUUGAGCUUACAUAGUAACCAAAAUUAAAAAAGAAUGUCCAAUAAAAUAUAAAUUAAUUGAACACAUCACUAAGUUUGCCACAUGUUAGACAAGUUUAUAAAAGGCAUUUUCAGAUAAAAUAGUUAUUUGGAAGAAAAACCUUCAAAAUGGAAACUAACAAAGUCCUUUUUCAAGAAAUCAUUCCUAUAUACACUAAAUUCCAGGUCAGCAGGCAGUAACUGAAUCUGCUUAGAAUACACUAUUCAUAUCUGCUUUGAAAUUUGUCAAGCUUUAAGACACAAAUUUAAAUGCUUUCAGGUCAGAGUGAUCAGUGCAAAAUAAAGCUUCAAGCUGAAAACAUGACAAAUAAAACAGAAGAAAUGAUCCUGGUACAAAACUUCCUAAAUUCACAUUAUGAAAAAAAAAUCUGUGCCAGAUGUACUCGUCAGAUACUGAGUGUUAAUUCAGCCAAUUUGCUUGAAAUGCAGUAAUUUCACAAGAAGGAGAUAAAAGUUGAGGCCUUACAAACAUCAGAAUGGUGGUCUAAAGCCUUCAGUGACAUUUAUUUGGAAGAGAUAUUCCUGUUGCCUUAACCAUUAUAGCACACAUUUCUAAAUUUAACCAACUUUGUUCAUUCAAGCAGUCUCACUAGUCAGGUUUGCUUAAAGCUAUAUACGUGCAUAACACUGCCAGACUUGAACCCUUCAGUCUUCAAAAAGGUAAAAAUGUUUACAUAAUUACACUGUAGUCAGAUUAUUUAAGCCUAUUAAUUUCUGCAGAGUAAACAUCAACACUCUAGCAAAACAAUUUCAUUGUUUGACUUGAUUGCCAACCAAAACAGGUUUGAAACAGUCUUCACAUUCAACAACUUAGAAGUAUUAAUGGCACACUCAUUCAAAGAUUAAAGGAACUCUUUUUAAGUCAUCAUUAAGAUUACCGCUCAUUGAGCUUUUUUUAACAUGU
ensembl:lncRNA